rnacentral:tRNA from 1 species
GGGGGUGUGGCGGAAUGGUAGACGCAACGGACUUAAAAUCCGUUGAGGGCAACCUCGUGCGAGUUCGAGUCUCGCCACCCCCA